rnacentral:lncRNA from 1 species
AAUGUCCAUACAAGACAGAAACGUAAAAGGAAUAAUGAGGAAAUCUCUUAUCUGAGUUCCUUUCUCAGGAAACCAACCAUCAGGCCUCCCAGACAGUGUCAAGAAACUGAAAUUUUCCAAUCUAUCACUGCAUCUGGACGAGACGUCAGACCCAACACCUGUCAUGAUCGCCUAGCCAACCACUUGCUGCCUGGUAACCAACUCCUCUUCCUUACCCCCUUCUCCAAUUCCUGUUUUCCCAUGUGGAGUUCCAUUUCUUCCCUUCUAUAUAAACCCCUAAUUUUAGUCACUUGCAGAGACAGAUUUGAGAUUGAUCUCCCAUUCUUGGCUGCAACACUAGAAGCCUUCUUCCCUAGUGAUACUUGUCUCAGUGACGGGCUUUCAGCAGGACUUAGAAGGAACCCCUGGUGUUUUGGUAACAGUACCCCCACUUUAUGAGUCCUGUAGCCUCUUAAAAUUCAAUUAACCACUUGAAGCUUUAAAGAUUUAUAAAAUAGAAUAAUAUCUACCUCCCAGAGUCAUUAUAAGGACUGGCGAUUAUACAUUUAAAGAUAAAGUAUUUGCAUCACCUAGCAGGAGUCAAAUAAAUGACUUCCAUUAAUGUAAUUAUUUGGUUGUGGACUUUCUAUGGGCUUAAACAGCAAUAAAAGUCUUAACCAGGAACUGACAACCAAAAUUAUUAUUUGUAACACUGACCUUCAAUCAACAUUGAACCUUUAUUUAGCAUUUACGUAUUUUAGAACUUCUUCAUUAAGCAAAGUAAACACCUUUUAUAUGUAAAAGUCUGAGCUAGCUGCCAAAAACACAGCGCUACCCACCCCCACCCCAAGCACAUACCAUAAUGUUUCCUGGUUUUUGUUCUGUUUUGUUUUGCUUUGGAGACAGUCUCACUCUGUCGCCCAGGCUGGAGUGCAGUGGCCAGUCUUGGCUCACUGCAACCUCUGUCUCCCAGGUUCGAGCAAUUUUCCUGCCUCAGCCUCCCAAGUAGCUGGGACUAUAGGCACAUGCCACCACACCAAGCUAAUUUUUUGUAUUUUAGUAGAGAUGGAGUUUCACUGUGCUGCCCCGGCUGGUCUGGAACUCCCAAGCUCAGGCAAUCCGCCCACCUCGGCCUCCCAAAAUGCUAGGAUUACAGGCAUGAGCCACCGCACCCAGCCAGUGUUUCCUGUUUUUACAGACUAUCCAUCUUUGUUUUAAAUGGUCAGUGUUUUAAAGAUUUGUUACUAAAUUUAAGUUUUCCUCACUUCUAUACAAUAGUAGACUGAUUUGGCUGCCUUUUUGUUCUUCUAAAUUUUCUUUUUUUAUUAAGCCAACUGUUUGUUCUGGCACCAUGUUAAAGUAUGUACCUUUUAGUCUAUUUAUACGUGUCACAUCUUGGAUUGACUUUUUAUUCCCAGUUUCUUCCUGGCAAAGACAAUGAACACAGUGAGCAUACUUAAUAAAUGUUACAUAAUAAUAACUAUUAAAUGUUCCUUAAAAAAUCUCAAGCAGAUUUUUUAUCUUUAGCUUCUACUUUGGGAUAAUUAUAUCCUUCCACAAAGCUAUUUAUAGCUCCCAUC